rnacentral:lncRNA from 10 species
UAUCUUCUGUCUCAUGCUAGCAGUGGAAUAGGAAAAGGACUCAAAAGACUUCUACUGGCCAUAAUGAAGUACCUGUUACUAUAUUUGCUUUCCUACCAUAAGCAACUAUAAAACUGGACAAUAUAUAGGCAACUGAUCUCAUGCAUUUCAAGCAGCACAGGAUUCUGAUAAUUAACAGAAGGAAAGCACAUGAGGAUAAUACUGGAGGCUGCCAUGGGAGAAGUCUGCACAAAAAGAGCAAGUUUAAGAGCUUCAGGAGUCAUAAAUGGCUUGAGAAGAUUAUGCUAGAGAUUGAAGCAGAUGGAAGAUUCUAGAAACAGAAAGCAUUCUUUUCAUUGGUGUGAGUCUUGAAUAUAAAUGGAAAUCAGAGGUCUGUAAUAGCAGGCCAGUGUGGAUAAGGCAGUAAGGUUUUGAGUCUGAGGAGAUGGCUGGGGGCAGUUUGUAGACUUAUUGUCAGUCCAGUGUAGAAUUUGAGAAUAUAGCCAGGGCU